AUUGAACGCUGGCGGCAGGCCUAACACAUGCAAGUCGAGCGGAUGAAGGGAGCUUGCUCCUGGAUUCAGCGGCGGACGGGUGAGUAAUGCCUAGGAAUCUGCCUGGUAGUGGGGGAUAACGUCCGGAAACGGGCGCUAAUACCGCAUACGUCCUGAGGGAGAAAGUGGGGGAUCUUCGGACCUCACGCUAUCAGAUGAGCCUAGGUCGGAUUAGCUAGUUGGUGGGGUAAAGGCCUACCAAGGCGACGAUCCGUAACUGGUCUGAGAGGAUGAUCAGUCACACUGGAACUGAGAUACGGUCCAGACUCCUACGGGAGGCAGCAGUGGGGAAUAUUGGACAAUGGGCGAAAGCCUGAUCCAGCCAUGCCGCGUGUGUGAAGAAGGUCUUCGGAUUGUAAAGUACUUUAAGUUGGGAGGAAGGGCAGUAAGUUAAUACCUUGCUGUUUUGACGUUACCAACAGAAUAAGCACCGGCUAACUUCGUG
rnacentral:rRNA from 1 species